CACGUAGGGGACGAGCGUUUGUCCGGAUUCAUUGGGCGUAAAGCGCGCGUAGGCGGCUCGGAAAGUCGGGCGUGAAAUGCCGGGGCUCAACCCCGGGACUGCGUCCGAUACUGGCGGGCUUGAAUCCGGGAGAGGGAUGCGGAAUUCCAGGUGUAGCGGUGAAAUGCGUAGAUAUCUGGAGGAACACCGGUGGCGAAGGCGGCAUCCU
rnacentral:rRNA from 1 species